rnacentral:rRNA from 1 species
AGAGUUUGAUCCUGGCUCAGGACGAACGCUUGCGGCGUGCCUAAGAAAUGCAAGUCGAACGGUGUAGCAAUACAUAGUGGCGAACGGUCGCGUAACACGUAAGCAACCUACCCCUGACACUGGGAUAAGCCUGGGAAACUGGGUCUAAUACCGGAUAGGACCUUGUGCUGCAUGGUGUGGGGUGGAAAGUUUUUCGGCUGGGGAUGGGCCCGCGGCCUAUCAGCUUGUUGGUGGGGUGAUGGCUUACCAAGGCGACGACGGGUAGCCGGCCUGAGAGGGUGUUCGGCCACACUGGGACUGAGACACGGCCCAGACUCCUACGGGAGGCAGCAGUGGGGAAUAUUGCGCAAUGGGCGGAAGCCUGACGCAGCGACGCCGCGUGGGGGAUGACGGCCUUCGGGUUGUAAACCUCUUUCGACCUUGACGAAGCCUUGUGGGGUGACGGUAGGGGUGGAAGAAGCACCGGCCAACUACGUGCCAGCCGCCGCGGUAAUUC